AACUCUCUCUUAUUUUUAUUUUAUUAUUUAUUUAUUUUCUUUUUUUUCCUUUUUCUUUUCUUUUUCCUUUUUUCCUUCUCCUUUUUUCUUUUUCUUUUCUUCUUCCUUUUUCCUUUUUCUUUUCUUUUUCCUUUUUCCUUUUCUUUUUCUUUUUUCUUCCUUCUUCUACUUCUUCCUGUGGCCUCCCCUAGGUGAAAAAAAAUGAAAUAGGGGACCGAAUGGUCCCCUCAUAUGGUUGGCCGACCGACGAUCGGCCGGCACGAGAAUGGUUGACAGUCGGAGGAGAGCACACCGCCAUCCCAAGGGACCCAAACUGGUGGCCGGCGACGACCACCGACGUUCGAAAAUUAAAAAAAAUUGAAACCUCUCCCAUGACAAAAUCCGAUGAUUUUGAUCACCGGUGAGCGUGCACA
rnacentral:lncRNA from 1 species